rnacentral:rRNA from 1 species
UGGGGAAUAUUGCACAAUGGGGGAAACCCUGAUGCAGCGACGCCGCGUGAACGAAGAAGUUAUUCGUAUCGUAAAGUUCUGUCCUAUGGGAUGAUAAUGACAGUACCAUAGAAGAAAGCUCCGGCUAAAUACGUGCCAGCAGCCGCGGUAAUACGUAUGGAGCGAGCGUUGUCCGGAAUUAUUGGGCGUAAAGGGUACGCAGGCGGUUUAAUAAGUCGAAUGUUAAAGAUCGGGGCUCAACCCCGUAAAGCAUUGGAAACUGAUAAACUUGAGUAGUGGAGAGGAAAGUGGAAUUCCUAGUGUAGUGGUGAAAUACGUAGAUAUUAGGAGGAAUACCAGUAGCGAAGGCGACUUUCUGGACACAAACUGACGCUGAGGUACGAAAGCGUGGGGAGCAAACAGG